UACGUAGGGGGCAAGCGUUGUCCGGAAUUAUUGGGCGUAAAGAGCGUGUAGGCGGUCCGGUAAGUCAGCUGUGAAAGUCAAGGGCUCAACCCUUGAAUGCCGGUUGAUACUGUCGGGCUAGAGUCCGGAAGAGGCGAGUGGAAUUCCCGGUGUAGCGGUGAAAUGCGCAGAUAUCGGGAGGAACACCGAUGGCGAAGGCAGCUCGCUGGGACGGUACUGACGCUGAGGAGCGAAAGCGUGGGGAGCGAACAGG
rnacentral:rRNA from 1 species